UCUGUCUUGAAUAUUGUGGAGGUAAGCGGAAUAUGUCAUGUAGCGGUGAAAUGCUUAGAUAUGACAUAGAACACCCAUUGCGAAGGCAGCUUACUACGCAUAUAUUGACGCUGAGGCACGAAAGCGUGGGGAUCAAACAGGAUUAGAUACCCUGGUAGUCCACGCCCUAAACGAUGGAUACUCGACAUACGCAAUACACUGUGUGUGUCUGAGCGAAAGCAUUAAGUAUCCCACCUGGGAAGUACGUUCGCAAGAAUGAAACUCAAAGGAAUUGGCGGGGGUCCGCACAAGCGGAGGAGUAUGUGGUUUAAUUCGAUGAUACGCGAGGAACCUUACCUGGGCUAGAAUGCUGGGAGACCGUGGGUGAAAGCUCACUUUGUAGCAAUACACUGCCAGUAAGGUGCUGCACGGCUGUCGUCAGCUCGUGCCGUGAGGUGUUGGGUUAAGUCCCCGCAACGAGCGCAACCCCUAUCAUUAGUUGCCAACAGGUUAAGCUGGGAACUCUAAUGAAACUGCCGCCGUAAGGUGUGAGGAAGGAGGGGAUGAUGUCAAGUCAUCAUGGCCUUUAUGCCCAGGGCUACACACGUACUACAAUGGGGAAGACAAAGGGCUGCAACAUAGCGAUAUGAAGCCAAUCCCAAAAACUUCCUC
rnacentral:rRNA from 1 species